CAGUCGCCGCGGUAAUACGAAGGGUGCAAGCGUUAAUCGGAAUUACUGGGCGUAAAGCGUGCGUAGGCUGUUUGUUAAGUCUGUUGUGAAAUCCCCGGGCUCAACCUGGGAAUGGCAAUGGAUACUGGCAAGCUAGAGUGUGUCAGAGGAUGGUGGAAUUCCCGGUGUAGCGGUGAAAUGCGUAGAGAUCGGGAGGAACAUCAGUGGCGAAGGCGGCCAUCUGGGACAACACUGACGCUGAGGCACGAAAGCGUGGGGAGCAAACAGGAUUAGAGACCCCCGUAGUCCCUGUCUCUUAUAA
rnacentral:rRNA from 1 species